rnacentral:rRNA from 1 species
CUACGGGACGCACCAGUGGGGAAUAUUGGACAAUGGGGGAAACCCUGAUCCAGCAAUGCCGCGUGUGUGAAGAAGGCCUGCGGGUUGUAAAGCACUUUCGGUUGGGAGGACUGCUUCUAGCACUAAUAUUGUUGGAAGUUGACGUUACCUUCAGAAGAAGCACCGGCUAACUCCGUGCCAGCAGCCGCGGUAAUACGGAGGGUGCAUGCGUUAAUCGGAAUUACUGGGCGUAAAGCGCGCGUAGGCGGCUAGAUCAGUCGGGUGUGAAAGCCCCGGGCUUAACCUGGGAACUGCAUCCGAUACUGUCUAGCUUGAGUACAGGAGAGGAGAGUGGAAUUCCACAUGUAGCGGUGAAAUGCGUAGAUAUGUGGAGGAACACCAAUGGCGAAGGCAGCUCUCUGGCCUGAUACUGACGCUGAGGUGCGAAAGCGUGGGGAGCGAACAGGAUUAGAUACCCUCGUAGUC